UACGGAGGGUGCAAGCGUUAAUCGGAAUUACUGGGCGUAAAGCGUGCGUAGAUGGUUUGUUAAGUCGAAUGUGAAAGCCCCGGGCUCAACCUGGGAACUGCGCUUGAGACUGGCACGCUAGAGUUCGGGAGAGGAUGGUGGAAUUCCCAGUGUAGAGGUGAAAUUCGUAGAUAUUGGGAAGAACACCGAUGGCGAAGGCAGCCAUCUGGACCGACACUGACGCUGAGGCGCGAAAGCGUGGGGAGCAAACAGG
rnacentral:rRNA from 1 species